ACGGCAGUAGAGCGCUUCAGUGGGUGACGUGCGUGUGGUACAGCGAAGUGCACGGGGCGGCGCCGCGCCUGCACUGCUCCACCACCAACCGCACCGUGGCGCCGCUGCUCACCGUCACCGACUCGCUCAUACACGCCAGCGUGCAGGUAAACACGGCAGUAGAGCGCUUCAGUGGGUGACGUGCGUGUGGUACAGCGAAGUGCACGGGGCGGCGCCGCGCCUGCACUGCUCCACCACCAACCGCACCGUGGCGCCGCUGCUCACCGUCACCGACUCGCUCAUACACGCCAGCGUGCAGGUAAACACGGCAGUAGAGCGCUUCAGUGGGUGACGUGCGUGUGGUACAGCGAAGUGCACGGAGCGGCGCCGCGCCUGCACUGCUCCACCACCAACCGCACCGUGGCGCCGCUGCUCACCGUCACCGACUCGCUCAUACACGCCAGCGUGCAGGUAAACACGGCAGUAGAGCGCUUCAGUGGGUGACGUGCGUGUGGUACAGCGAAGUGCACGGGGCGGCGCCGCGCCUGCACUGCUCCACCACCAACCGCACCGUGGCGCCGCUGCUCACCGUCACCGACUCGCUCAUACACGCCAGCGUGCAGGUAAACACGGCAGUAGAGCGCUUCAGUGGGUGACGUGCGUGUGGUACAGCGAAGUGCACGGGGCGGCGCCGCGCCUGCACUGCUCCACCACCAACCGCACCGUGGCGCCGCUGCUCACCGUCACCGACUCGCUCAUACACGCCAGCGUGCAGGUAAACACGGCAGUAGAGCGCUUCAGUGGGUGACGUGCGUGUGGUACAGCGAAGUGCACGGGGCGGCGCCGCGCCUGCACUGCUUCACCACCAACCGCACCGUGGCGCCGCUGCUCACCGUCACCGACUCGCUCAUACACGCCAGCGUGCAGGUAAACACGGCAGUAGAGCGCUUCAGUGGGUGACGUGCGUGUGGUACAGCGAAGUGCACGGGGCGGCGCCGCGCCUGCACUGCUCCACCACCAACCGCACCGUGGCGCCGCUGCUCACCGUCACCGACUCGCUCAUACACGCCAGCGUGCAGGUAAACACGGCAGUAGAGCGCUUCAGUGGGUGACGUGCGUGUGGUACAGCGAAGUGCACGGGGCGGCGCCGCGCCUGCACUGCUCCACCACCAACCGCACCGUGGCGCCGCUGCUCACCGUCACCGACUCGCUCAUACACGCCAGCGUGCAGGUAAACACGGCAGUAGAGCGCUUCAGUGGGUGACGUGCGUGUGGUACAGCGAAGUGCACGGGGCGGCGCCGCGCCUGCACUGCUCCACCACCAACCGCACCGUGGCGCCGCUGCUCACCGUCACCGACUCGCUCAUACACGCCAGCGUGCAGGUAAACACGGCAGUAGAGCGCUUCAGUGGGUGACGUGCGUGUGGUACAGCGAAGUGCACGGGGCGGCGCCGCGCCUGCACUGCUCCACCACCAACCGCACCGUGGCGCCGCUGCUCACCGUCACCGACUCGCUCAUACACGCCAGCGUGCAGAUACCACAAUCAUUUCUAUACAGCACGACAGAGUGCGGCACUGUGCUGCAAAUGCAGCAACACUACCUGGUGGUGUCGGUGUACGAGGUGGCGACACUGUUCCCUCUACUGCCCGUAGUGGACGACGGGCCGAUGCGCGGACACCGCUCCAAGGAUUACUACGGACGGAGCACGAAGAGGGAAGAUAUGAACAUGGAGAUCACUUCGCCGGUCAUUGGAUUUUAGUUGGCGAACGCUUUGCUCCGCGGCGAGUUGCUGGAGCCCGUCAUAGCGACGGUGCGUGGGCGCUCCAUGGGCGGCGUGGAUGGGCGCGCGGCCACCUGGGACCCGCGCACCAGGCGCUGGACUGACAACGCGUCCGUUUUCGGACAUGCGCGACAUUCUCAGCCACAAUAUGUAGGUAAAUGGAAAUCCUGGCAUCCAUGCGGCAUCCUUGGAAAUCAGCAUGCUCAAUGGGCUUUCAUUGAACGGGCUUAUGCUACUGAUGGUGCAGGAGGACGUGCAAGAACCACAGAUUUAAACGAUAAACAUAUAAACCCAAGUUCCUACAA